rnacentral:rRNA from 1 species
CCUACGGGAGGCAGCAGUGGGGAAUAUUGGGCAAUGGAGGAAACUCUGACCCAGCGACGCCGCGUGCGGGAUGAAGGCCUUCGGGUUGUAAACCGCUUUCAGCAGGGAAGAAGCGAAAGUGACGGUACCUGCAGAAGAAGCACCGGCUAACUAUGUGCCAGCAGCCGCGGUAAUACAUAGGGUGCAAGCGUUGUCCGGAAUUAUUGGGCGUAAAGAGCUCGUAGGUGGUUCGUCACGUCGGAUGUGAAAAUCUGGGGCUUAACCCCAGACCUGCAUUCGAUACGGGCGAGCUUGAGUAUGGUAGGGGAGUCUGGAAUUCCUGGUGUAGCGGUGGAAUGCGCAGAUAUCAGGAGGAACACCAAUGGCGAAGGCAGGACUCUGGGCCAUUACUGACACUGAGGAGCGAAAGCGUGGGGAGCGAACAGGAUUAGAUACCCUGGUAGUCCACGCCGUAAACGGUGGGCACUAGUUGUGGGGACCUUCCACGGUCUCUGCGACGCAGCUAACGCAUUAAGUGCCCCGCCUGGGGAGUACGAUCGCAAGNUUAAAACUUAAGGAAUUGACGGCUGAGAGNGCGAGACGACGACGAGGAGAG